rnacentral:rRNA from 1 species
UGGGGGCAUGUGCACGCUCUGUUCACACAUCCACUCACACCUGUGCACCCUCUGUGGUUCUGUGGCAUGGAGGGCUCUGUCCUCCUGUCGUGGUUCUGCAUCUUUACACACACACACCGUAACAAAGUCUCAUGGAAUGUACGCAGCGUUUAACGCAAUACAAUACAACUUUCAGCAACGGAUCUCUUGGCUCUCGCAUCGAUGAAGAACGCAGCGAAAUGCGAUAAGUAAUGUGAAUUGCAGAAUUCAGUGAAUCAUCGAAUCUUUGAACGCACCUUGCGCCCUUUGGCUAUUCCGAAGGGCAUGCCUGUUUGAGUAUCGUGAACACCUCAACUCUCAUGGUUCGCCAUGAUGAGCUUGGACUUUGGGGGUCUUGCUGGCCUGCAGCCGGCUCCUCUCAAAUGAAUCAGCUUGCCAGUGUUUGGUAAUGUCGCAGGUGUGAUAACUAUCUACGCUUGUGGUUUUCUACCAGAUAACCUUCAGUGAUGGAGGUUCGCUGGAGCUCACAAAUGUCUCUCUUCUGUGAGGACAGCUUUUCGAACGUUUGAUCUCAAAUCAGGUAGGACUACCCGCUGAACUUA